GCUUAACACAUGCAAGUCGAGCGAGAAUCGUUUAUUGAAGGCUUCGGCUGGAAAUAGAUGAGGAAAGCGGCGAACGGGUGAGUAACGCGUGGGCAACCUGGCCUUAAGAAAAGGAUAGCCCCCGGAAACGGGGAGUAAUACUUUAUGAGAAUGAAAGAGGGCAUUCUACUUUCAUUCAAAGCGCAAGCGCUUAGGAUGGGCCCGCGUAUCAUUAGCUAGUUGGUGAGAUAACAGCCCACCAAGGCAACGAUGAUUAGCCGGUCUGAGAGGGCGAACGGCCACAUUGGAACUGAGAGACGGUCCAAACUCCUACGGGAGGUAGCAGUGGGGAAUAUUGCGCAAUGGAGAAGAACUCUGACGCAGCAAUACCGCGUGAGCGAAGAAGGUCUUCGGAUCGUAAAGCUCUGUUAUCAGGGAAGAAGAAAAUGACGGUACCUGAUGAGCAAGUCCCGGCUAACUACGUGCCAGCCGCCGCCGUAA
rnacentral:rRNA from 1 species